GUGGGGAGCAAACAGGAUUAGAUACCCUGGUAGUCCACGCUGUAAACGAUGGGCGCUAGGUGUUGGUGGUUAGUAGCCAUCAGUGCCGAAGCUAACGCGUUAAGCGCCCCGCCUGGGGAGUACGGCCGCAAGGCUGAAACUCAAAGGAAUUGACGGGGGCCCGCACAAGCGGUGGAGCACGUGGUUUAAUUCGAUG
rnacentral:rRNA from 1 species